AUUGAACGCUGGCGGCAUGCCUUACACAUGCAAGUCGAACGGUAACAGGUUAAGCUGACGAGUGGCGAACGGGUGAGUAAUGUAUCGGAACGUGCCCAGUCGUGGGGGAUAACUGCUCGAAAGAGCAGCUAAUACCGCAUACGACCUGAGGGUGAAAGCGGGGGAUCGCAAGACCUCGCGCGAUUGGAGCGGCCGAUAUCAGAUUAGGUAGUUGGUGAGGUAAAGGCUCACCAUGCCGACGAUCUGUAGCUGGUCUGAGAGGACGACCAGCCACACUGGGACUGAGACACGGCCCAGACUCCUACGGGAGGCAGCAGUGGGGAAUUUUGGACAAUGGGCGCAAGCCUGAUCCAGCCAUGCCGCGUGCGGGAAGAAGGCCUUCGGGUUGUAAACCGCUUUUGUCAGGGAAGAAAAGGUUCUGGCUAAUACCUGGGACUCAUGACGGUACCUGAAGAAUAAGCACCGGCUAACUACGUGCCAGCCGCCGCAGUAAUAC
rnacentral:rRNA from 1 species